UAAGAACACAGGACCAACUAACAGAGAGCUAUAAGAACACAGGACCAGCUAACAGAGAGCUAUAAGAACACAGGACCAGCUAACAGAGCGGUAUAAGAACACAGGACCAGCUAACAGAGAACUAUAAGAACACAGGACCAGCUAACAGAGAGCUAUAAGAACACAGGACCAGCUAACAGAGAACAAUAAGAACACAGGACCAGCUAACAGAGAACUAUAAGAACACAGGACCAACUAACAGAGAACUAUAAGAACACAGGACCAGCUAACAGAGAACUAUAAGAACACAGGACCAGCUAACAGAGCGCUAUAAGAACACAGGACCAACUAACAGAGAACUAGAAGAACACAGGACCAGCUAACAGAGCGGUAUAAGAACACAGGACCAACUAACAGAGAGCUAUAAGAACACAGGACCAGCUGACAGAGCGGUAUAAGAACACAGGACCAGCUAACAGAGAACUAUAAGAACACAGGACUAACUAACAGAGAGCUAUAAGAACACAGGACCAGUAACAGAGAGCUAUAAGAACACAGGACCAGCUAACAGAGCGGUAUAAGAACACAGGACCAACUAACAGAGAACUAUAAGAACACAGGAGCAACUAACAGAGAGCUAUAAGAACACAGGACCAGCUAACAGAGAGCUAUAAGAACACGGGACCAGCUAACAGAGCGGUAUAAGAACACAGGACCAGCUAACAGAGAACUAUAAGAACACAGGACCAGCUAAGAGAGAGCUAUAAGAACACAGGACCAGCUAACAGAGAACUAUAAGAACACAGGACCAGCUAACAGAGAACUAUAAGAACACAGGACCAACUAACAGAGAGCUAUAAGAACACAGGACCAACUAACAGAGAACUAGAAGAACACAGGACCAGCAAACAGAGCGGUAUAAGAACACAGGACCAGCUAACAGAGAGCUAUAAGAACACAGGACCAGCUAACAGAGAGCUAUAAGAACACAGGACCAGCUAACAGAGAACUAUAAGAACACAGGACCAGCUAACAGAGAACUAUAAG
rnacentral:lncRNA from 1 species